rnacentral:rRNA from 1 species
AACGAACGCUGGCGGCAUGCCUAACACAUGCAAGUCGAACGAGACCUUCGGGUCUAGUGGCGCACGGGUGCGUAACGCGUGGGAACCUGCCCUUAGGUUCGGAAUAACUCCCCGAAAGGGGUGCUAAUACCGGAUAAUGUCUUCGGACCAAAGAUUUAUCGCCUUUGGAUGGGCCCGCGUUGGAUUAGCUAGUUGGUAGGGUAAAAGCCUACCAAGGCGGCGAUCCAUAGCUGGUCUGAGAGGAUGAUCAGCCACACUGGGACUGAGACACGGCCCAGACUCCUACGGGAGGCAGCAGUGGGGAAUAUUGGACAAUGGGCGAAAGCCUGAUCCAGCAAUGCCGUGUGAGUGAUGAAGGCCUUAGGGUUGUAAAGCUCUUUUACCCGGGAUGAUAAUGACAGUACCGGGAGAAUAAGCUCCGGCUAACUCCGUG